rnacentral:rRNA from 1 species
UUCCGUAGGGUGAACCUGCGGAGGGAUCAUUACCGAGUACUAUAACUCAUAACCCUUUGUGAACCUUCAUACCUGUUGCUUCGGCGGCGCGCCUCUCGGGGCGUGCCCGCCGGCAUUAUCAGAAUCUCUGUUCGAACCCGACGAUACUUCUGAGUGUUCUAAGCGAACUGUUAAAACUUUCAACAACGGAUCUCUUGGCUCCAGCAUCGAUGAAGAACGCAGCGAAACGCGAUAUGUAAUGUGAAUUGCAGAAUUCAGUGAAUCAUCGAAUCUUUGAACGCACAUGGCGCCUUCCAGUAUCCUGGGAGGCAUGCCUGUCCGAGCGUCGUUUCAACCCUCGAGCCCCCGUGGCCCGGCGUUGGGGACCUGCCCAGGCAGUCCCCGAAAACCAGUGGCGGACCCGACGGGCCCUUCCUUUGCGUAGUAACAUCUGCCUCGCAUCGGGAGCCCCCGGGCUAUCCGGCCUCUAAACCCCCCUCAAGCCCGCUCCGGCGGCACCAAG